rnacentral:rRNA from 1 species
UACGUAGGGGGCAAGCGUUGUCCGGAUUUAUUGGGCGUAAAGCGCACGCAGGCGGUCUCUUAAGUUUUGAGUGACAGGUGGUGGCUCAACUACCACAGGCCUUGGAAAACUGCCAGACUUGAGGGCUUCAGAGGGACGCGGAAUUCCAGGUGGAGCGGUGAAAUGCGUAGAGAUCUGGAAGAACACCAAUGGCGAAGGCAGCGUCCUGGGAAGCGACUGACGCUCAUGUGCGAAAGCUAGGGGAGCGAACGGG